GUUAUAGCAGGUGGUUUAGGUGUAUGGGUAGGUUAUAGCAGGUGGUUUAGGUGUAUGGGUAGGUUAUAGCAGGUGGUUUAGGUGUAUGGGUAGGUUAUAGCAGGUGGUUUAGGUGUAUGGGUAGAUUAUAGCAGGUGGUUUAGGUGUAUGGGUAGGUUAUAGCAGGUGGUUUAGGUGUAUGGGUAGGUUAUAGCAGGUGGUUUAGGUGUAUGGGUAGAUUAUAGCAGGUGGUUUAGGUGUAUGGGUAGGUUAUAGCAGGUGGUUUAGGUGUAUGGGUAGGUUAUAGCAGGUGGUUUAGGUGUAUGGGUAGGUUAUAGCAGGUGGUUUAGGUGUAUGGGUAGGUUAUAGCAGGUGGUUUAGGUGUAUGGGUAGAUUAUAGCAGGUGGUUUAGGUGUAUGGGUAGGUUAUAGCAGGUGGUUUAGGUGUAUGGGUAGGUUAUAGCAGGUGGUUUAGGUGUAUGGGUAGAUUAUAGCAGGUGGUUUAGGUGUAUGGGUAGGUUAUAGCAGGUGGUUUAGGUGUAUGGGUAGGUUAUAGCAGGUGGUUUAGGUGUAUGGGUAGAUUAUAGCAGGUGGUUUAGGUGUAUGGGUAGGUUAUAGCAGGUGGUUUAGGAGUAUGGGUAGAUUAUAGCAGGUGGUUUAGGUGUAUGGGUAGAUUAUAGCAGGUGGUUUAGGUGUAUGGGUAGGUUAUAGCAGGUGGUUUAGGU